CGAACUGCGCGAACGUUAUUCGGAAUCACUGGGCUUACAGGGUGCGUAGGUGGCCGGACAAGUCAGGUGUGAAAUCCCUCAGCUCAACUGAGGAACUGCGCUUGAAACUGUUUGGCUAGAGUGAGCUAGGGGUGCUUGGAACUGCCAGUGGAGCGGUGAAAUGUGUUGAUAUUGGCAGGAACACCGGAGCCGAAAGGGAAGCACUGGGGCUUAACUGACACUGAGGCACGAAAGCCAGGGGAGCAAACGGGAUUAGAUACCCCGGUAGUCCUGGCCGUAAACUAUGAGAACUGGGCAGGGGAGUGCUUGCACAUCCCGGCCGUAGCGAAAGCGUUAAGUUCUCCGCCUGGGGAGUAUGGUCGCAAGGCUG
rnacentral:rRNA from 1 species